AACUUUCAAUGUGUAUGAAAGGAGCACUGCAUGGUCAAUAAUCCCCCUAGGCUGGGUGUAGGGCUCCUCUGGCUUCUCAGCGAAGCUGGUAAGCAUGGUGCCACUUGAUCCUAUUAUAAGGUGAGAGGAAGCCUGGAAGCAGGGUUCCUUUCUGGAAGAUUUUAAAAUGGGAAAGACUUGACCUGAAACCUGUGUCAUAAUCAAGGGACUAAAAUGAUCUUUCCAAAGGACCUCUGGCUGUGCUCUUGACUCCCCAGUGGUUUCUGUGAAUAUCAACAUUGCCUGGCAUUAACUAGCCCAGAUUCUGAUCUCGCAGUUCCUGAUUGGUGCCCUCUGCCUAUAUAAGGUCAGGAUGUGGAAUGCUGAAGGCAGGGUCCUACCUUCUCCUGAGCUCCAAGCUUUCUUAUCUGUGCUCCCUGCUAAUCAACUCACCAGCAUGAAGCUCUUGGCGUUGCUGGUACUGGUGGCCGUUUCCACCUUCCUGGUUUCAGGCCAGACAACCGAUGAUACAUCUGAGAGUGCUACUGGUCCUGUUGAGGAAUCCACAACCGAUGGAUCCACAACUGACACCAGUGCAGCUCCUGACACCACAAAUGCUGCUCAAACCACUACUUGGAGUAAGCCACUUAUUAUAGAUUAUACUUUCUUUUGGGGGCUUCUGGAUUCCUUGGUUCCCUGUGAUGCUGGCACAUUCUACUUUGGGGUCUGGAAGGAGAAGCCAUGAGAAAGCUCUGUUUUCAUCAUUCUCUAAUUGUUCCUGGUUUUACAAAUCAAGUCAACAGAUAGAUCUCAGAGGAGCCCUGAGGUUGCAGCUUCUUGUUUACUAAUAUUACCUGCAUGUUCUUGAAGUGUUGGCUUUAAUAGGGAUAUUUGUCUUUAGUAGAAAAGUAUGGGAAGAUAGGGGUCGGGUGGCUGUUUACAUUUGUUUUUUAUAGAAAAGUGUUUGUUUCUUUUCUUUUUUCUUUUUUUAACUUUAUUUUUUUUAUUUUUAAAAAUUUACAUCCAAAUUAGUUAGUAUAUAGUGAAGCAAUGAUUUCAGUAGAUUCCUUAAUGCCCCUUACCCAUUUAGCCCAUCCCCCCUCCCACAACCCCUCCAGCAACCCUCAGUUUGUUCUCCAUAUUUAUGAGUCUCUUUUGUUUUGUCCCCCUCUCUGUUUUUAUAUUGUUUUUGUUUCCCUUCCCUUAUGUUCAUCUGUUUUGUCUCUUAACGUCCUCAUAUGAGUGAAGUCAUAUGAUUUUUGUCUUUCUCUGACUAAUUUCACUCAGCACAAUACCCUCCAGUUCCAUCCAUGUAGUUGCAAAUGGCAAGAUUUCAUUCUUUUUGAUUGCCAAGUAAUACUCCAUUGUAUAUAUAUAUAUACCACAUUUCUUUAUCCACUCAUCCAUUGAUGGACAUUUGGGCUCUUUCUAUACUUUGGCUAUUGUUGACAGUGUUGCUAUAAACAUGGGGGUGCAUGUGUCCCUUCAAAACAGCA
rnacentral:lncRNA from 1 species